AUUCGAUAAAGGAUGAAACAGUAGGACAUCAGAAGAGGACAUGGCACCCAAGAAGCCACCAAAAGAAGCAGCAGCACCAAAGGAAAAAGCAGGAGAGCCCCCCAAACCUCCAGGUCCAGGCGAUGAGGCACCGAAAAAACCAUUCCUCGAAACCCCAGAAGGCGCAAAAACGGUCAGAAUAUUGGCGGCCGUCUGGUUCGUCCUUGCAGUUAUCAUGGUCAUCAUGUACGCGGUCCUGCUCAACAAAGACUGGAACAUCCGCCAGGCCCUGAUCAUGAUGCGAGAAUUUGCCAUUGAGUUCGAUCCGAGAUACGAAGACAAGACUGAUUUCCAGGUUGUUGGCCUGGCUCAAAACCUGUCCUCCGAAAUGCUUGAAUGGGGACUUAAAAACGACGAACUACAAGCAGAAAUAGAUAAGCUUGCUAAGACGCUUGAUCAGUGGAAGGCAUAUGAUAAGAACCUUUAUCACUUUUCGAAAGAUGACGUAAAUUGGAACGAAGCCGUAGAUGAAUGUAACACAAGAGAAUCUGGACUGGUUUUUGUUAAGUGGGGUGAAGAACAAGCCUUUAUAGAUGACCAAGUUUCUCAACAAAAGAAGCCAUACUGGAUUGGACUUAAGAAAAACGAGAGUGCCUUUAAUGGCGUCAUAUGGCUUGGUGGAUUCAAAGCUGGAACAGUGUACUGGGAUACUAAACAUGGUCAGCCGAAAAAGGAAAAUGGCAACUGUGUUUUCGUCCACUUUGACUGCAUUUCUAAAAGAUGUUGGCAUUAUGGUAAAUGUACUGAUAAAAGACGAUUUGUAUGCAAGAAGGAGCCCAUUGCAAAAUGGUAUUACGCUUAAAGUUAGAGGCCCGAAGAAGAACAGAAGAACACGGCCGCACACCUGGAUACCUGCAUGGAAAAUCUGACUCUGUAGAACUCAACCCACUAACUCAUUCAUUAAUGAAAGGCUUGAACCGAGUGGAGUGUGCUAGCUUUGUCCUUCUGACUUGACCGUUUCUCCAUCGCCAAGGGCAAGAAGAACCGCAGGGACCUCAAGAGGUCCUUGAGCAUUGAUCAAGGUGUCCCAGAGGCAGGCACAAGGGUCUCCAGCAUCAGUUCGGGAGUGUUAGCGCCAUGUUGUGAGCUGAGGGGUGGCUCUUCCCAUGCCAUUGUGAAGAAAGACUAGAGGUUAAUGCCUGAGAUCACUUACAGAGCAUGUCUCUGCCGUGGGACGCUGCUCAUCCCCACAGGUGGAAGAGGAGUAGGAAGAUUUCUCAGGCAAAGGGUGCAGUUGGUAGACCAGUGACUUCCAAUCUUGGGUCCUGAGAUGUUCUUGGACUAAAACUCCCAGAAGCCUUCAUCACUGGCUGUGGUGGCCAGGAUUUCUGGGAGCUGCAGCCUAAGAACAUCUGGGCAUCUAAGGUGGGGAACCACUGCUGUAGAGAAACUUGGCUCCUCCUGGCACCUCUUUUUUUUUCCCCUUUUUUGUUUUGGAGAAAUGAUUGGACUUCUCUCUCCCUCCCUCCAUCUCUAGAGGUGUCAGAAGAUGGAGGUGCCAUGGCAGGUUCCCGGGGCCAUCUGGCAGUCAUUGGGCAAGCCUUUGAGCCCGCUGUCCUUGAAGCAAUGCCUUUCUUUGUACCCCUGUUUUGACUGCACACAGGGCCAUCAAAGUAGACUCUGCAGUUGGCCCAUUCUUGGCCACAAAACUGAAUGGUUGAGGGUCAGAGCACGUGCUUCUGCUCAGCUUCGUAUUCGGCCAUCUAGAGGGUUUUAUUUUGUGAAAGAUGAAAAAUGGGCUACAAGGAGGUGAUGCGCCUUUUCCAUAAAUUAUGUUUCAACCCAAAAUAAUAACCAUGUGCUAUCAAGUUGAUUCUGACUUAUGGCGACCCUUUCCAGGGUUUUCCAGGUAGUAAGCACUCAGAAGGAGUUUCCCCUUCUCUUCGUCUGGGAGGGAUCCCUGGGACUACUGCGCAGCUUGCCCAAGGCCACCCAGGCUGGCUCUUCACCCUGGAACCACACAGCCAGGAAUCAAACUCCCAACCUUUGGCUCUGCAGCGAGAUGCUUAAACCACUGGGCUAUCCAGCCAGCCUUUGACCCAGAAGUCCUCUCUGGAACUCAAGGGGAUCGUAGAAUUAUAGAAUAAAGGGCCUCGAAGGUCUUUGGGUCUAACCCUC
ensembl:lncRNA CD209 antigen-like protein B